UACAGAGGUCUCAAGCGUUGUUCGGAUUCAUUGGGCGUAAAGGGUGCGUAGGCGGCUUUUUAAGUUUGGUGUGAAAUCUCCCGGCUCAACUGGGAGGGUGCGCCGAAUACUGAGAAGCUAGAGUGUGGGGAGAGGAAAGUGGAAUUCCUGGUGUAGCGGUGAAAUGCGUAGAUAUCAGGAGGAACACCGGUGGUGUAAACGGCUUUCUGGACCAUAACUGACGCUGAGGCACGAAAAGCGUGGGUAGCAAACAGG
rnacentral:rRNA from 1 species